AUUGAACGCUGGCGGCAGGCCUAACACAUGCAAGUCGCGCGAGCGGCGGACGGGUGGGUAAUGUCUGGGAAACUGCCUGAUGGAGGGGGAUAACUACUGGAAACGGUAGCUACUACCGCAUAACCUCAGAUGUGCUCAGAUGGGAUUAGCUAGUAGGUGGGGUAAUGGCUCACCUAGGCGACGAUCCCUAGCUGGUCUGAGAGGAGGACCAGCCACACUGGGACUGAGACACGGUCCAGACUCCUACGGGAGGCAGCAGUGGGGAAUAUUGCACAAUGGGCGCAAGCCUGAUGCAGCCAUGCCGCGUGUGUGAAGAAGGCCUUCGGGUUGUAAAGCACUUUCAGUGGGGAGGCGUUACUUGCAGAAGAAGCACCGGCUAACUCCGUGCCAGCAGCCGCGGUAAUUC
rnacentral:rRNA from 1 species